CCUACGGGUGGCAGCAGUCGAGAAUCAUUCACAAUGGGGGAAACCCUGAUGGUGCGACGCCGCGUGGGGGAAUGAAGGUCUUCGGAUUGUAAACCCCUGUCAUGUGGGAGCAAAUUAAAACGAUCGUACCACCAGAGGAAGAUACGGCUAACUCUGUGCCAGCAGCCCCGGUAAUACAGAGGUCUCAAGCGUUGUUCGGAAUCACUGGGCGUAAAGCGUGCGUAGGCUGUUUCGUAAGGCGUGUGUGAAAGGCGCGGGCUCAACCCGCGGACGGCACAUGAGACGGGGAGACUAGAGUAAUGGAGGGGUAAGCGGAAGUCUCGGUGUAGCAGUGAAAUGCGUAGAUAUCGAGAGGAACACUCGUGGCGAAGGCAGGUUACUGGACAUUAACUGACGCUGAGGCACGAAGGCCAGGGGAGCGAAAGGGAUUAGAUACCCUUGUAGUC
rnacentral:rRNA from 1 species